UCAUUUUUUCAUUUUCAUUGUCGUGAUUAGUUCCCUAGUGAAUUAAUUCCUUGUUAUCUGCUAAGUUUUGUCAGAAUAAUAUCAUAUGCAGAAACAGAUUUUAGUGAUCCCAAGCAGGUAUUGACAACAGCAGAAUGGAUAGAUGCAGGGCAAAUUUGGAUCAACACACACAUACAGAGAUACACAAACCACUGGAGAAGCACGGUGAGUAUACAGGUUGCAAUGUAGAGAGAUUGCUGGAGUCAAAUGAUGGAGAUCGCUGGAGCAAACGAAGAAGAUUGCUGGAGACUCAUAAGCCAAACAACAGAGGUCUUAUGCUGCGAUCCAGACAACUACAAUUUCUGAUUUUCCCCAUCUCCAACUUGGAAAUAACGUUUGGAACACCGCUU